rnacentral:rRNA from 1 species
ACUCCUACGGGAGGCAGCAGUGGGGAAUAUUGCACAAUGGGCGCAAGCCUGAUGCAGCCAUGCCGCGUGUAUGAAGAAGGCCUUCGGGUUGUAAAGUACUUUCAGCAGUGAGGAAGGUGGGUAUGUUAAUAGCAUACUCAUUUGACGUUAGCUGCAGAGAAGACACCGCGUAACUCCGUGCCAGCAGCCGCGGUAAUACGGAGGGUGCGAGCGUUAAUCGGAAUUACUGGGCGUAAAGCGCAUGCAGGUGGUUUGUUAAAGUCAGAUGUGAAAGCCCGGGCUC